AUAUCUCGACUCAUACAUCGAGGAAGAGCGAUGCGCAAGAAGGAAAAGGGCUAAC
rnacentral:rRNA from 8 species